ACAAUGGAGAGUUUGAUCCUGGCUCAGGAUGAACGCUAGCGGCAGGCUUAAUACAUGCAAGGCGAGGGGGCAGCAAUGUCACCGUCGUACGGGUGCGUAACGCGUAUGCAACCUACCUUC
rnacentral:rRNA from 2 species